GCAAACUUGGUCAUUUAGAGGAAGUAAAAGUCGUAACAAGGUCUCCGUUGGUGAACCAGCGGAGGGAUCAUUACAGGACUCGCAAGACUCCUACAACCCUGUGAACCUACCUUACAACCGUUGCUUCGGCGGGUGCGCCGCGGGGAUUCGUUCCCGCGGGGCGCUAGCCCGCCGGCAGCCUGCAAAUUCUGUUUCUUUGCGUUGGCAUCUCGAGAAAAACAAAUAAGUUAAAACUUUCAACAACGGAUCUCUUGGUUCUGGCAUCGAUGAAGAACGCAGC
rnacentral:misc_RNA from 1 species